rnacentral:ncRNA from 1 species
UUGUAGAGGCGCUGAAAUCAAGAGUAAUUGUUAGGAGUCGGGAGGCAAUGAUCAGCAAUGAAAGGGAAAUUAGCCGAAGGGAAAUAUUGCGAGAUAUUUUUCUGGCCAUUUUUAGAAUAUAAACUUGGCUGUCACGUUUAGCUAAUAUUUAAAAUUAGCUAAUAGAAGAAUAAAAACUUUUAAGUGGAGUGCUACUAAG